AUUGAACGCUGGCGGCAGGCCUAACACAUGCAAGUCGAACGGCAGCACAGUAAGACUUUGUUCUUACGUGAGGCGUGUCGCGGGGGGGUGUGGUGUCCGGCAGAAUGUAUUUUGUAGGGGGAGAUCUCGUAGGGACGGUUACGAUAAUACCAUAACGUCCCUACGGCAGAAAGCGGGGGCUCUUGGCCCCUUGCCCGCGUGUAUGCGCCGAUGGGGGAUUAGCUAGUAGGUGGGGUAAGGGCCCACCGAGGCGACGAUCCGUAGCUGGUCUGAGAGGAUGAUCAGCCACACUGGAACUGAGACACGGUCCAGACUCCUACGGGAGGCAGCAGUGGGGAAUAUUGCACAAUGGGCGCAAGCCUGAUGCAGCCAUACCGCGUGGAUGAAGAAGGCCUUCGGGUUGUAAAGUCCUUUUGGUGGGGAAGAAGAGAAGCAGGUUAAUACCUUGGCGUAUUGACGUUACCCAAAGAAGAAGCACCGGCUAACUCCGUG
rnacentral:rRNA from 1 species